GAUGAAGAACGCAGCGAAAUGCGAUAAGUAAUGUGAAUUGCAGAAUUCAGUGAAUCAUCGAAUCUUUGAACGCACCUUGCGCCCCUUGGUUAUUCCAAAGGGCAUGCCUGUUUGAGUAUCAUGAACACCUCAACUCUUGUGGUUUCCCACAAUGAGCUUGGACUGUGGAGGUUUUGUUGGCCCUGUGGUCAGCUCCUCUCAAAUGGAUCAGCUUACCGGUGUUUGGUGGCAUUACGGGUGUGAUAACUAUCUACGCUCGUGGUCGUCUCCAAAUAACCUCCAGUGAUGGAGGUUCGCUGGAGCUUAUAAAUGUCUCUCCCCAGUGGAGACAGCCUUUGAACGUUCGAUCUCAAAUCAGGUAGGACUACCCGCUGAACUUAAGCAUAUCAAUAAGCGGAGGA
rnacentral:misc_RNA from 1 species